GCCGUUUCCUGAAACGCCUCCAGUGUCCCCAGCAGCGCAGCUCAGCGCGUUGCGCCCGUGUAAAAGAGCGCAUUAAACAUGACGGCCAGCACCGAUGUGGGACCCAUAUAAGAAACCUGUGCGGAACUGAUAACAGACGGAUAUGCAGACUGAGACAAUGGAGGAGAAGAAGGAAGACUUCAAAGCCCUGAGAGCAAGGUUUCAUGCCCAAAUGGAAUUAAAUGACUCUGGAGGUCCCAAGCAGGCACUCCAACCUCCAAUUGCUGCAAGACAAGGACCUUCUUUUGGCUCAAGCUCACCUGGAAAUGGGGCCUUCAGGGGCAGCCCCAGAGGCCCUGCAGUGACACUUAACAUGGGUCCACCUCCUCCAGGACCCAAAAUGCAAGGAACCCCUAGGAACUUUAAAAAUCCCCCACGUUUCCCUCGACAAGAAGCAAUAGAUUCCAGCAGUCCAAGUAAUGACAAACCUCCACUGGGGAUCUUAAUUCCCAAACCUCUUACACCCAUUCGCUCUGCCUCUAGUGACGAUAAAGCGCCGGGAGAUUUGCCAGAGGCAGAGUCAUCCGUUAAGCAGAGGGCCAAUGAUCUUCGGCAAAAUCUCAUGCUGAGGCAGCAGUUGAACAAAGGCUCACAAGAAGGCAUCAGAGAGGCCCCCAAGGCGGUGGUCCUCACACCACCACCUCGCAGCCAGAAGAGCGUGACAGAAUCACCUGCACCACUGAGAAAGCCUCUGCCAUUGGAAAAAAAUCUGGGACCAAGGCCUUUUAAGCCGAAGAGACCUCCUCUUGUCUGCCUGGACAAUUUCAAAAAAAAGAAAAUCCCUCCAAUACCUGAACGCCCAACACCUGGAAAAAUUAAUGUAUCUCAUAAAGCACCACUGCCAGGAUUAUCUGCACCCCCAGCAAUGCCUCGCCUAGGACCGAAGCCAAAGCCUGCCCCAGUGACACCACAACGUUUGCUUAAGCCCUCAUCAGAUGAUCAGGACACGUAUGAUGAUGUUGAAUCUACAGCUCCACUGCAGCCUCCUCCUCCGCUGCCUCCCAAAAUCUCGUCAGAAGAUUCCCUGGCAGAACAAGGAGAUGAGGAGAGUGACGGCAGUGAUCUCUAUGAGGAGGUGGACAGCAUAGAGGUAGUACACAAGCGGCAUGACAAGAGCAGGCAGAUGGAGCUGAAGCGUCAGCAGGAGAUGGAAAGGAAAGAGCAGAAAGAUAAGGAAAAAAGGGAGAUGGAGCUCCGCAAGAAGUUCAAGCUCUCUGGUCCUAUAGAGGUGCUCUACACGGCCAAGAUGAGACUGGAUAACCGUGGGGGAAAGUAUGACCUGACCGUUAAGGCGGGUGACACAGUUGAGAUUGUGAGAGUGAAGAGCAAUCCAGAAGGGAAAUGGCUGGCACGCACCCUGGAUGGCACAUAUGGCUACAUAGAUAACAAGAGUGUGAACAUUGACUACGAGGAGGUGCGACGUAAUAUUCGGAGUCAGGCUCAGCAACUAGAGAACAGCCCUGGUUGGCAUAAAAAGGACGAGUUCUACGAUGAUGUGGGUUCAUCUGACCAGAUGAAUAGCAGCCGAAAUACAGACAACGAUGAAGUGUAUGAUGACGUGGACAUCAUUUCUGAAGAGUUUCCGCCACCCCCACCGGAGCUCAGUUUGGAGCCAAAAAAGAGCAAGAAGGAAGAGAAAGAAGAGAAGGAGUUCCGGAAGAAGUUUAAGUUUGAUGGGCCAAUUGAAGUACUCUGUCGUAUGAUGGUGGAUCCCAAUGCCAACAUUAAGAAAGCCUCUGGGAAGGACCUGUCUUUGUCCCGUGGAGAAAUCCUUAGUGUGAUCCUCUUUGUCAAUGAGAAGAAAGCCAUCUGCCGCAACGAGAAGGGAAAAUAUGGUUAUGUCCCCAGGUCUCUUCUUCUACAAGCGGAAGGAGACAUUUAUGAUGAUGUCGAGAGCAGUGAUGUCUACGACAACGACUGACAGCCUGAGCCCCCAUCCUAGGAGUGCUUCUUGCCAAAGAGUUUUGCUUUAUUUUUUAAACAUUUAGUGUCUUCUCCUCAUGACAGAUGAGAACACAUGAAACCUGAGAAGCUGCCCUGUACCUCCUUAUUAACCCUGCUGCUCUACCCUUCACAAAGCUUCAUUGUGCAUGUCUGCAUGUUGUUUCAACCAGGAUUAACCUGCUGCCAUAAUGUCAAAGUAUCUGGAGAGUCAUAAUGCAACAAGGAAAAUGUCCAUGCCAAGGAUGUACAGGGACUCUACAUUGGUCCGAUAUGAUUUUGAGUGGGUGGUCUACUGGCAUCCCAAAAAGGACUGCCUUGUGCUGAACGCUGCUGGGAAGAGGCUCCAGCUCCCCUCAUUCACUCCCACCUGUAUGUCUAUUGCCCCUCCCAUCAUGUACAAUGGCAAGAAAAAGUAUGUGCAGUCUUACAAGAUAACCACAUUUAUGUAUUCAUUUUUAAAAAUUUGUCUUAAAAUAUGGUCUGAUCGUCAUGUAAGUUACAAUAAUGAACACACAACAAUGUUUUAUCGAAUAAUGCACAGAUCAUUGUAUCAUUCUUGGCACUUGCUGAAUACAUCAUUCAGAUAUUCACAGGUGUAGGUUGGAAAAAGCAUGCGAACUCCUAGGCUGAUAAGUUCAAGAAAAUCUAACUGGAGUCAGGAGAUGAUAAACCUGGAGACAACCAGUUAAAUGAGACUGGAGGUGUGAUUUCAAGAUUCUUCACCCGAUAAAACAAAAGACUUGAAUAUUUUGAGUUUUCCAUUCAUAAAAAGAGUCUUAAUGUUUAGCAUGCCUCACAAAAAAGGAAAUCUCAAAAGGUCUAUGAUCAAGAAUUGUUGAUUUGCGUAAAGCUGGAAAAGGUUAUAAAAUAAUUUCAAAGAGUUUAGAUAUUCAUCAGUCCACAGUUAGACAAACUAUGUAGGAAUGGAGAUGAUCUGUACUAUGGCUACUCUCCCCAGAAUUGGGGGCCCAGCCAAGUUAACUCAAAAAGCACAAAGAGAAAUCACAGUGAGGUAAAACAGAACUCUAGGGUAACAACUAAAGUCUUGAAGGAAUCACUUGAAGAGGUUAACAUCUGUGUUCAUGAGUCUAAGAUAUGCAAAACAUUGAACAGACAUGGUGUCCCGUGGAGGCUGUUACUCUCCAAAUAACAUUGCAGCAUGCCUGAUGAUUACCAAAGAUCAGCUUGACACUCCACAAUAUCUUUGGGAAAAUUUUUGUGGACUGAAGAAACUAAGGUUGCAUUGUUCAGGAAGAAUAUUCAGCAGUAAAUAAGGAGAAAACAACAUGAAAACAUCAUCCCAAUGGUGUAGUACGGUGGAGGGGACAUCAUGAUUUGGGAAUGUUUUGCUGACUCCAGGACUGGUCAGCUUGCCACCAUCAAAAAUGAAUGUGUAAGUUUAUCAAGGUGUCCUACGAGAUGAUGCCAGGGCGACUGUUCUCCAGCUAAAGCUCAGUAAAAGUUGGGUGAUGGCAACAGGGCAAUAACCCCAAACAUCAAAGUAAAUUUACUACAGAAUGGCUUAAAAAAGAAUAAUCACCUUCUGGAAUGGCCCACUCAUAGCGCAAAUAUUCGCUCAAUGGAGAUGCUGUGGUAUGAUCUCAGGAGGGCAUCCUAAAAAUAUGGCUAACCUGAAACAGUUCUGUAAGGAAGAAUAGUCCAAAAUUCCUCCUGAACAUCGUGCAGAUCUGAUCCACAACUACCGGAAGUGUUUUGUAGAGGUUAUUCCUGCCAAAGAGCGGUUUUUAAAUUCAAGGGUACACUUAACUUUUGCUAGAGCACACUGUCCAUUUUUAUAUGUGUGUUUAAUAAAGACAUGAGAGAUUGUAAUUGUGUGUGAGUUAUUAGUGCGAGCAUAUUGCAUUUGUCUAUACUUGUGACUUAGAUGAAGUUUAAAUCACAUUUUAUGACCAGUUAAUGCAGAAUCACACACUUUUUCUUGUCACUAUAACUUCUACUGGCGGCACUGUGGUGCAGUGGGUAGCACUGUUACCUCACAGUUAGGAGA